rnacentral:rRNA from 1 species
GGGUUGUGAGGUUAAGCGACUAAGCGUACACGGUGGAUGCCCUGGCAGUCAGAGGCGAUGAAGGACGUGCUAAUCUGCGAUAAGCGUCGGUAAGGUGAUAUGAACCGUUAUAACCGGCGAUUUCCGAAUGGGGAAACCCAGUGUGUUUCGACACACUAUCAUUAACUGAAUCCAUAGGUUAAUGAGGCGAACCGGGGGAACUGAAACAUCUAAGUACCCCGAGGAAAAGAAAUCAACCGAGAUUCCCCCAGUAGCGGCGAGCGAACGGGGAGCAGCCCAGAGCCUGAAUCAGUGUGUGUGUUAGUGGAAGCGUCUGGAAAGGCGCGCGAUACAGGGUGACAGCCCCGUACACAAAAAUGCACAUGCUGUGAGCUCGAUGAGUAGGGCGGGACACGUGGUAUCCUGUCUGAAUAUGGGGGGACCAUCCUCCAAGGCUAAAUACUCCUGACUGACCGAUAGUGAACCAGUACCGUGAGGGAAAGGCGAAAAGAACCCCGGCGAGGGGAGUGAAAAAGAACCUGAAACCGUGUACGUACAAGCAGUGGGAGCACGCUUAGGCGUGUGACUGCGUACCUUUUGUAUAAUGGGUCAGCGACUUAUAUUCUGUAGCAAGGUUAACCGAAUAGGGGAGCCGAAGGGAAACCGAGUCUUAACUGGGCGUUAAGUUGCAGGGUAUAGACCCGAAACCCGGUGAUCUAGCCAUGGGCAGGUUGAAGGUUGGGUAACACUAACUGGAGGACCGAACCGACUAAUGUUGAAAAAUUAGCGGAUGACUUGUGGCUGGGGGUGAAAGGCCAAUCAAACCGGGAGAUAGCUGGUUCUCCCCGAAAGCUAUUUAGGUAGCGCCUCGUGAAUUCAUCUCCGGGGGUAGAGCACUGUUUCGGCAAGGGGGUCAUCCCGACUUACCAACCCGAUGCAAACUGCGAAUACCGGAGAAUGUUAUCACGGGAGACACACGGCGGGUGCUAACGUCCGUCGUGAAGAGGGAAACAACCCAGACCGCCAGCUAAGGUCCCAAAGUCAUGGUUAAGUGGGAAACGAUGUGGGAAGGCCCAGACAGCCAGGAUGUUGGCUUAGAAGCAGCCAUCAUUUAAAGAAAGCGUAAUAGCUCACUGGUCGAGUCGGCCUGCGCGGAAGAUGUAACGGGGCUAAACCAUGCACCGAAGCUGCGGCAGCGACACUAUGUGUUGUUGGGUAGGGGAGCGUUCUGUAAGCCUGUGAAGGUGUGCUGUGAGGCAUGCUGGAGGUAUCAGAAGUGCGAAUGCUGACAUAAGUAACGAUAAAGCGGGUGAAAAGCCCGCUCGCCGGAAGACCAAGGGUUCCUGUCCAACGUUAAUCGGGGCAGGGUGAGUCGACCCCUAAGGCGAGGCCGAAAGGCGUAGUCGAUGGGAAACAGGUUAAUAUUCCUGUACUUGGUGUUACUGCGAAGGGGGGACGGAGAAGGCUAUGUUGGCCGGGCGACGGUUGUCCCGGUUUAAGCGUGUAGGCUGGUUUUCCAGGCAAAUCCGGAAAAUCAAGGCUGAGGCGUGAUGACGAGGCACUACGGUGCUGAAGCAACAAAUGCCCUGCUUCCAGGAAAAGCCUCUAAGCAUCAGGUAACAUCAAAUCGUACCCCAAACCGACACAGGUGGUCAGGUAGAGAAUACCAAGGCGCUUGAGAGAACUCGGGUGAAGGAACUAGGCAAAAUGGUGCCGUAACUUCGGGAGAAGGCACGCUGAUAUGUAGGUGAGGUCCCUCGCGGAUGGAGCUGAAAUCAGUCGAAGAUACCAGCUGGCUGCAACUGUUUAUUAAAAACACAGCACUGUGCAAACACGAAAGUGGACGUAUACGGUGUGACGCCUGCCCGGUGCCGGAAGGUUAAUUGAUGGGGUCAGCGCAAGCGAAGCUCUUGAUCGAAGCCCCGGUAAACGGCGGCCGUAACUAUAACGGUCCUAAGGUAGCGAAAUUCCUUGUCGGGUAAGUUCCGACCUGCACGAAUGGCGUAAUGAUGGCCAGGCUGUCUCCACCCGAGACUCAGUGAAAUUGAACUCGCUGUGAAGAUGCAGUGUACCCGCGGCAAGACGGAAAGACCCCGUGAACCUUUACUAUAGCUUGACACUGAACAUUGAGCCUUGAUGUGUAGGAUAGGUGGGAGGCUUUGAAGUGUGGACGCCAGUCUGCAUGGAGCCGACCUUGAAAUACCACCCUUUAAUGUUUGAUGUUCUAACGUGGACCCGUGAUCCGGGUUGCGGACAGUGUCUGGUGGGUAGUUUGACUGGGGCGGUCUCCUCCUAAAGAGUAACGGAGGAGCACGAAGGUUGGCUAAUCCUGGUCGGACAUCAGGAGGUUAGUGCAAUGGCAUAAGCCAGCUUGACUGCGAGCGUGACGGCGCGAGCAGGUGCGAAAGCAGGUCAUAGUGAUCCGGUGGUUCUGAAUGGAAGGGCCAUCGCUCAACGGAUAAAAGGUACUCCGGGGAUAACAGGCUGAUACCGCCCAAGAGUUCAUAUCGACGGCGGUGUUUGGCACCUCGAUGUCGGCUCAUCACAUCCUGGGGCUGAAGUAGGUCCCAAGGGUAUGGCUGUUCGCCAUUUAAAGUGGUACGCGAGCUGGGUUUAGAACGUCGUGAGACAGUUCGGUCCCUAUCUGCCGUGGGCGCUGGAGAACUGAGGGGGGCUGCUCCUAGUACGAGAGGACCGGAGUGGACGCAUCACUGGUGUUCGGGUUGUCAUGCCAAUGGCACUGCCCGGUAGCUAAAUGCGGAAGAGAUAAGUGCUGAAAGCAUCUAAGCACGAAACUUGCCCCGAGAUGAGUUCUCCCUGACCCUUUAAGGGUCCUGAAGGAACGUUGAAGACGACGACGUUGAUAGGCCGGGUGUGUAAGCGCAGCGAUGCGUUGAGCUAACCGGUACUAAUGAACCGUGAGGCUUAACCUUACAACGCCGAAGCUGUU